CCUACGGGAGGCAGCAGUGAGGAAUAUUGGUCAAUGGCCGGGAGGCUGAACCAGCCAAGUCGCGUGAGGGAAGACGGCCCUACGGGUUGUAAACCUCUUUUGUCAGGGAGCAAGGUGCAGGUCGGGACCUGCUGUGAGAGUACCUGAAGAAAAAGCAUCGGCUAACUCCGUGCCAGCAGCCGCGGUAAUACGGAGGAUGCGAGCGUUAUCCGGAUUUAUUGGGUUUAAAGGGUGCGCAGGCGGAGGCACAAGUCAGCGGUAAAAUCGCGGGGCUCAACCCAGCUCCGCCGUUGAAACUGUGUGCCUUGAGUGCGCGAAGGGUAGGCGGAAUGCGUGGUGUAGCGGUGAAAUGCAUAGAUAGCACGCAGAACUCCGAUCGCGAAGGCAGCCUACCGGCGCGCAACUGACGCUCAUGCACGAAAGCGUGGGUAUCGAACAGGAGUAGAUACCCCAGUAGUC
rnacentral:rRNA from 1 species